UGCAGUCUGAAACUCGAGUGCAUGAAGCUGGAAUCGCUAGUAAUCGCAAAUCAGAAUGUUGCGGUGAAUACGUUCCCGGGUCUUGUACACACCGCCCGUCACACCAUGGGAGUUGGAAAUGCCCGAAGUCAGUGACCCAACCUAAGGGAGGGAGCUGCCGAAGGCAGGUUCGAUGACUGGGGUGAAGUCGUAACAAGGUAUC
rnacentral:rRNA from 1 species